rnacentral:lncRNA from 1 species
AAUAUCAAAUCCGCUACUAUUUGAAUGGCCGGCCAUAUGAGUCAAAGUUCACAUCAAAGUUCAAAGACCAGCGAACCUAAAUGAAGCGAUUACUCAUGCUGUGACAUGGGAGCAAGCUCGACUUGGAGCGGCAGCCAGGCAACAGAUCACAGUUCCUGUUUACUCCAGUGGCUAUCUCCCUGGAGUACCACCACAACCAGCGUUAAUCCCAGCUACAAGUCCUGGAUUUCAGCCAACCAUGAAUACCUACAAGCUUUGAGAACCAGUUAGCAAAAGUCAAAGAGGACAUGGUGGAAACACUUACAAAGAAGAUGGCUGAUUUACAAGUGAAUCUGGUUCAGGGCAUGGGAGCUUCAGUGAAGCGGAUCAACGAGAGAACAGGUGUUUGGUGUAUUACAUGUGGCAAUCAAGGCCACUAUCCGAUUGAAUGCCCAGCUAAGCUUCCACGACCUGCAAAGCCAAAGUGUCAAUAUUGCGGGAAGAGUGGAGAUACACUAGAGAAUUGCUAUUCAAAUCCUACUCGAGUUUCAACACAGCAGCUCCAAGUUUCCCAACAGAUCCCUGUGAUGCCAAGUUACCUGGUUCAGUCGCAGAUGUCUCAAGG